rnacentral:rRNA from 1 species
CGAACGCUGGCGGCAGGCCUAACACAUGCAAGUCGAACGCAUGCCUUCGGGCAUGAGUGGCGCACGGGUGAGUAACGCGUGGGAACCGACCCUGGGGUUGGGGAUGACCGCUGGAAACGGCGGCUAAUACCCGAUACGCCUUGAGGGGGAAAGAUUUAUCGCCCUGGGACGGGCCCGCGUUGGAUUAGGUAGUUGGUGGGGUAACGGCCUACCAAGCCUACGAUCCAUAGCUGGUUUGAGAGGAUGAUCAGCCACACUGGGACUGAGACACGGCCCAGACUCCUACGGGAGGCAGCAGUGGGGAAUAUUAGACAAUGGGGGCAACCCUGAUCCAGCCAUGCCGCGUGAGUGAAGAAGGCCUUAGGGUUGUAAAGCUCUUUCAGUGGUGAAGAUGAUGACGGUAGCCACAGAAGAAGCCCCGGCUAACUCCGUGCCAGCAGCCGCGGUAAUACGGAGGGGGCAAGCGUUGUUCGGAAUUACUGGGCGUAAAGGGCGCGUAGGCGGAUAUUCAAGUCAGAGGUGAAAGCCCCGGGGCUCAACCUGGGGAUUGCCUUUGAAACUGGAUGUCUGGAGGUCCGGAGAGGUGAGCGGAAUACCC